rnacentral:rRNA from 1 species
GACGAACGCUGGCGGCGUGCUUAACACAUGCAAGUCGAACGGAAAGGCCCUGCUUUUGUGGGGUGCUCGAGUGGCGAACGGGUGAGUAACACGUGAGUAACCUGCCCUUGACUUUGGGACAACUUCAGGAAACUGGGGCUAAUACCGGAUAGGAGCUCCUGCUGCAUGGUGGGGGUUGGAAAGUUUCGGCGGUUGGGGAUGGACUCGCGGCUUAUCAGCUUGUUGGUGGGGUAGUGGCUUACCAAGGCUUUGACGGGUAGCCGGCCUGAGAGGGUGACCGGCCACAUUGGGACUGAGAUACGGCCCAGACUCCUACGGGAGGCAGCAGUGGGGAAUAUUGCACAAUGGGCGGAAGCCUGAUGCAGCAACGCCGCGUGCGGGAUGACGGCCUUCGGGUUGUAAACCGCUUUCGCCUGUGACGAAGCGUGAGUGACGGUAAUGGGUAAAGAAGCACCGGCUAACUACGUGCCAGCAGCCGCGGUGAUACGUAGGGUGCGAGCGUUGUCCGGAUUUAUUGGGCGUAGAGGGCUCGUAGGUGGUUGAUCGCGUCGGAAGUGUAAUCUUGGGGCUUAACCCUGAGCGUGCUUUCGAUACGGGUUGACUUGAGGAAGGUAGGGGAGAAUGGAAUUCCUGGUGGAGCGGUGGAAUGCGCAGAUAUCAGGAGGAACACCAGUGGCGAAGACGGUUCUCUGGGCCUUUCCUGACGCUGAGGAGCGAAAGCGUGGGGAGCGAACAGGCUUAGAUACCCUGGUAGUCCACGCUGUAAACGGUGGGUACUAGGUGUGGGGUCCAUUCCACGGGUUCCGUGCCGUAGCUAACGCUUUAAGUACCCCGCCUGGGGAGUACGGCCGCAAGGCUAAAACUCAAAGGAAUUGACGGGGCCCCGCACAAGCGGCGGAGCAUGCGGAUUAAUUCGAUGCAACGCGUAGAACCUUACCUGGGUUUGACAUGGAUCGGGAGUGCUCAGAGAUGGGUGUGCCUCUUUUGGGGUCGGUUCACAGGUGGUGCAUGGCUGUCGUCAGCUCGUGUCGUGAGAUGUUGGGUUAAGUCCCGCAACGAGCGCAACCCUUGUUCACUGUUGCCAGCACGUUAUGGUGGGGACUCAGUGGAGACCGCCGGGGUCAACUCGGAGGAAGGUGGGGAUGACGUCAAGUCAUCAUGCCCCUUAUGUCCAGGGCUUCACGCAUGCUACAAUGGCUGGUACAGAGAGUGGCGAGCCUGUGAGGGUGAGCGAAUCUCGGAAAGCCGGUCUCAGUUCGGAUUGGGGUCUGCAACUCGACCUCAUGAAGUCGGAGUCGCUAGUAAUCGCAGAUCAGCAACGCUGCGGUGAAUACGUUCCCGGG